rnacentral:lncRNA from 1 species
GAGAAACGAGUCCCUUCUUGGUCAGACAAGAGCUUCAGGAGGAAGACUGAGAAACCAGGGGAGCCUGCAUGACUGCAACCUCGCCAGUUUCCAUGGUUCUCUCUGCCUUCACCACGUGAGAGUUACAAGGGCCUGAAGAAUUGGGUCACAGUGAGGAUCCCAUGGAGAUGAGAAGGAAGAGAAUCAACAUACUCUACAGA